GUCUUGCAUGAAGUGGUGAAGAGUGGAGUUAGAGCCAAGAAUGACUUGCCGACUUGGCCAUGAGAAUGCUCAAAAACGACGGGUUGCCUGCCGGUCGGCAAGUCGUUCUAGCUCUUCUUUGCUCUCUACUUUUUCAUGCGAGAC
rnacentral:sRNA from 1 species